rfam:Clostridium sp. CAG:557 genomic scaffold, scf39
UAGAACUGAUAAUCCGAUGAGUGGAAUGAGGGAGUAACGCCCUGAAACGCUCACACUGAUACUCCGACUGGCUCUGCCGAGAAGGCAGAUGUUCAGAAGCUCGGUGAAGUCGGCAGAGAGUGACCGUAAGUUGUGAUAAAAUAACACGAAAGUUGUCUGGAGGCAGAUGGCGUCACCUAUAUGCCGGGUGUCUAAAAA